GGAGCGUCUGGGUAUCACUGGGCUCAGCUUGGAGGUGGGUUUCGGGGAAGUCUCUGGUGGAACGCGGCGGUAAAGCAUCACUCGCACUACAAGUCUUUCCAUUCCUGAGAGCGAAAAGAACUUAAGCGGGCGGCACGCGAAGUGUAGGUUGCUUUGUAGUAUUUCAAAGCAGCGCUGACCGUGGGCAGAGGAGCGGCUAUGUGCAACAGAAACUACUCAAUGGAACUGUGCUGGAUAUCUGACCUCCAGAAGGGAAGCAUCUGCUCUUGCUCUGGCUGAUGUCCUACUGGAAACACUGGACUCAUCUUUCACUGUCCUGCACAGAGCACGCCUCAAGACAGUAGGCAGAAUUCCCCAAUCUGGGCAAGGUGCUUGGCUGUGGAUCUCUGCAACUGUUUCCAUCGUUCAUUGGAUGAAGACUCUCUGAUGACGGCUGGGGUAGUUACCAAUCUGAUUACAGAGGCCAGAUCAGGCUACUUAUUCUAUACUCUACUAUGUGGCAAUAACUUUUUAAUCAUACUACUAAUUUUUGGACUGCUUUUGGUAAGCCAAGUAUGCUAACUUAUUAUGUUGGCACUGUAAAUGUAUAUAAACUUUUCAUUAGAUGCAAUAUGUUUAUACAUAUUAUGACUCAUGAGAUAUGUAUUUGAUGCAUUUGCACCCUCUAUUCUCAUUAAAUAAUUCAAUAGAAAUACGAAGCUAAAAACACUAAGCAAUUCAUGGUGGAAUUACUUCAAACUAGAAAAUGUUAUUGGAAGGAGCCAGAGUAUCUAAAGUUAAAAGUGAUUAAUAAAUAAUACUGCUAUGAGUAAGCAAGCAGGAAUGGUAAUUUGAUUACUAAAAGUAGAACAUGAAAGCUAUAUGGUCUAAUAACAUAGGUGUGCAGUAUAACGUAAGCCACACUUCCAGUUUAUAAACUUUAAAAGUAAAAUGUAACUACAAAAUUUAUAAUUUUUUAGAAGUC